rnacentral:rRNA from 1 species
GACGAACGCUGGCGGCGUGCUUAACACAUGCAAGUCGAACGGAAAGGCCCUGCUUUUGUGGGGUGCUCGAGUGGCGAACGGGUGAGUAACGCGUGAGUAACCUGCCCUUGACUUUGGGAUAACUUCAGGAAACUGGGGCUAAUACCGGAUAGGAGCUCCUGCUGCAUGGUGGGGGUUGGAAAGUUUCGGCGGUUGGGGAUGUACUCGCGGCUUAUCAGCUUGUUGGUGGGGUAGUGGCUUACCAAGGCUUUGACGGGUAGCCGGCCUGAGAGGGUGACCGGCCACAUUGGGACUGAGAUACGGCCCAGACUCCUACGGGAGGCAGCAGUGGGGAAUAUUGCACAAUGGGCGGAAGCCUGAUGCAGCAACGCCGCGUGCGGGAUGACGGCCUUCGGGUUGUAAACCGCUUUCGCCUGUGACGAAGCGUGAGUGACGGUAAUGGGUAAAGAAGCACCGGCUAACUACGUG